CCUUGAUCCACACACAGUUUUUACCAUCCUUAAAAGCCCUUGUCAAAACAAAUUCCCAAUGUUUUGGGCUUGAAUGGCUAACCGUGUUCCAAUACUAUAUUUUCGUAUCUCUCUUACGACUCACAUUUACCUUCUAGAUUAGUUGAUUUUUCAGUAUUCCAACUGGCACUUCCAACACUACUUCUAAGAGAACUGGCUCAUGUGAUUAUGGAGGCUAACAAAUCUUGAGAUCUCUCAUCUGCAAGCUGGAGACCCAGGAGAGCCAAUGGUGUAAUUCCAGUCUGAAGAUUGGCAGCCUCAAGAUCUACAAAGAGCUGAUGUUUCAGUUGGAGUCUGAAGAGGAGAGAGAGUUGCCAUGUCAUAAGACCAAAUCACUUUCGAAGUCUAGAAUACAAGGAUCAUGAAAACUAAUAUGCAUUUCAUUGUAUGGAUACACCGGCAGAUAUCCAUUCACCUAUUUAAAGACAUCUUGGUUGCUCCUAAUUUUUGGAAACUGAUAAAUGAUCUUCCAAAGUGGCUGCACCAUUUUGCAUCCCCACCAGCAAUGGAUGAGAGUUCCUGUUACUCCACAUUCUCACAUUUGUUAGUGUUGGUGUUCUGGAUUUUGGCCAUUCUAAUAGUUAAACAGAAAAUAACUGUGGAGGAGUUAUUGAUUUUUGUGUGGAGCCAAGUGCAAGGUGAGUCUUGGUCAUCUUCUUCUGCCAGAAGACAAGACAAAGCUGGAAGACCAGUGGGAUCAUGUCAAAGGGAGCUACCUUAGAAAGGCACCCUCUGGCCAAUUUUGGGAAAAUUAAAGUGCCAAAAAGAAUAUUGAUAGCAAUUGACUAUGACACAUUGAAUUUUUAAAAGAUGCAUGAAUAUUUAGUCAUAAUAAAAGAGAGAGAGAAAGAGGAGGGGGCAAGAAAAGCGCUUAUUUUUUAACCAAGGAAAUAUUCUAGUGAACAAAUGUAG
rnacentral:lncRNA from 1 species